rnacentral:lncRNA from 1 species
GACGACGACGACGACGACGACGACGACGACGACGACGACGACGACGACGACGACGACGACGACGACGACGACGACGACGACGACGACGACGACGACGACGACGACGACGACGACGACGACGACGACGACGACGACGACGACGACGACGACGACGACGACGACGACGACGACGACGACGACGACGACGACGACGACGACGACGACGACGACGACGACGACGACGACGACGACGACGACGACGACGACG